rnacentral:lncRNA from 1 species
GGUAGUUGGCGGGGCUUUCUUACCCACAACAUUUCAUCCGUCCUUGCAGUUGGCUGCAUGAUAUAUUUAUUAUUAUGCCAUUUUACAGAUGAGAAAACUGAGACUCGAGUCCACAGGCUAACCAGGGACAGCCUUGGGCCUUCACUCUACUGCCCUUCGCCUCUGUUAUGAGCAUGUGCACAUCAGUCAAGGCUGAAGCAAUCCUUUCAAUGAAAGAAAAUGAUAUUUGCUGUAACUUCCAGCCACUGCUCGAAGAUGAAGAUGAGGCUCAAAGCUGGACAGUGGAGGGAGGCCAGCCAAGGUCAGAACUGCAGAGAUGGCAGGCUUGCCUCCAGACCCAGGUAUAUUUCAAGAGCAGAAGCCGUUGGCACAAUCACCCCUUAUUCUGUUUGUGGAAGAAAGUUGCCAUCCACACAGUUUUGGCCGGGCGCGGGUGGCUCACAGCUGUAAUCCCAGCACUUUGGAAGGCUGAGGUGGGCGGAUCAUGAGGUCAGGAAUUUGAGAUCAGCCUGGCCAACGUGGUGAUACCCUGUCUCUGCUAAAGAUAUAAAAAAUUAGCCAGGCGUGGUAGCGCACGCGUGUAAUCCCAGCUACUUGGGAAGCUGAGGCAGGAGAAUCACUUGAACCCAGGAGGUGGAGGUUGCAGUGAGCCGAGAUCACGCCACUGCACUCCAGCCUGGGCAAUAGAGUGAGGCUCUGUCUCAAAAAAAAAAAAAAAAAAUUAUAGUUUCUACACAUGUGGGUUUGGAAUUUGAACAAAUUAUUUUAUUCUGGGAAUGCUUUAUAAUCGCC